rnacentral:rRNA from 1 species
AAAUUGAAGAGUUUGAUCAUGGCUCAGAUUGAACGCUGGCGGCAGGCCUAACACAUGCAAGUCGAACGGUAACAGGAAGCAGCUUGCUGCUUUGCUGACGAGUGGCGGACGGGUGAGUAAUGUCUGGGAAACUGCCUGAUGGAGGGGGAUAACUACUGGAAACGGUAGCUAAUACCGCAUAAUGUCGCAAGACCAAAGAGGGGGACCUUCGGGCCUCUUGCCAUCGGAUGUGCCCAGAUGGGAUUAGCUAGUAGGUGGGGUAAAGGCUCACCUAGGCGACGAUCCCUAGCUGGUCUGAGAGGAUGACCAGCCACACUGGAACUGAGACACGGUCCAGACUCCUACGGGAGGCAGCAGUGGGGAAUAUUGCACAAUGGGCGCAAGCCUGAUGCAGCCAUGCCGCGUGUAUGAAGAAGGCCUUCGGGUUGUAAAGUACUUUCAGCGGGGAGGAAGGGAGUAAAGUUAAUACCUUUGCUCAUUGACGUUACCCGCAGAAGAAGCACCGGCUAACUCCGUGCCAGCAGCCGCGGUAAUACGGAGGGUGCAAGCGUUAAUCGGAAUUACUGGGCGUAAAGCGCACGCAGGCGGUUUGUUAAGUCAGAUGUGAAAUCCCCGGGCUCAACCUGGGAACUGCAUCUGAUACUGGCAAGCUUGAGUCUCGUAGAGGGGGGUAGAAUUCCAGGUGUAGCGGUGAAAUGCGUAGAGAUCUGGAGGAAUACCGGUGGCGAAGGCGGCCCCCUGGACGAAGACUGACGCUCAGGUGCGAAAGCGUGGGGAGCAAACAGGAUUAGAUACCCUGGUAGUCCACGCCGUAAACGAUGUCGACUUGGAGGUUGUGCCCUUGAGGCGUGGCUUCCGGAGCUAACGCGUUAAGUCGACCGCCUGGGGAGUACGGCCGCAAGGUUAAAACUCAAAUGAAUUGACGGGGGCCCGCACAAGCGGUGGAGCAUGUGGUUUAAUUCGAUGCAACGCGAAGAACCUUACCUGGUCUUGACAUCCACGGAAGUUUUCAGAGAUGAGAAUGUGCCUUCGGGAACCGUGAGACAGGUGCUGCAUGGCUGUCGUCAGCUCGUGUUGUGAAAUGUUGGGUUAAGUCCCGCAACGAGCGCAACCCUUAUCCUUUGUUGCCAGCGGUCCGGCCGGGAACUCAAAGGAGACUGCCAGUGAUAAACUGGAGGAAGGUGGGGAUGACGUCAAGUCAUCAUGGCCCUUACGACCAGGGCUACACACGUGCUACAAUGGCGCAUACAAAGAGAAGCGACCUCGCGAGAGCAAGCGGACCUCAUAAAGUGCGUCGUAGUCCGGAUUGGAGUCUGCAACUCGACUCCAUGAAGUCGGAAUCGCUAGUAAUCGUGGAUCAGAAUGCCACGGUGAAUACGUUCCCGGGCCUUGUACACACCGCCCGUCACACCAUGGGAGUGGGUUGCAAAAGAAGUAGGUAGCUUAACCUUCGGGAGGGCGCUUACCACUUUGUGAUUCAUGACUGGGGUGAAGUCGUAACAAGGUAACCGUAGGGGAACCUGCGGUUGGAUCACCUCCUUACCUUAAAGAAGC